GGUCAAAUCAACAAACUGAAAAUGGUAACCUGAACUUGAUUGGCUGGCACAUUCGUAAGCUCAAGCUGUGAAAGAAACAUAACGACGUCGACCGAUCGACGAUCUAUCAAAUCACAUUCAAGAAACUGAUCAGGAUGAAGGAUCUCGACGUUCAUCUCCUUUGACAGUUCAUCAUGCUGAUUGGAAGCUCAGAAAGAACUUCUUUCAUAUGUUGAUCGUUCCUUUGAAAUAACAAGCCACGACACACUCCCUGAUCGACGACUUGUCGAUGCUGGCACUUCUGACUACGGUUCCUUGAAGCAAUUAUCUUGAAGUUCUGGAUCCUUUGCGUAAUCCGUGCGUGUGUGAGGGUGUGUGUGUGCUGUGGGGGGCGGCUGGCGGAGGCGGUGGACAAAGAAAACAGCGAUUAUGGAAUGUCUUAAGAGUACUUUUCGUUACUUUAUCGUGACUUUAUGUUCAAGGUAUAGGCCGCCUAUUACACGGGCGACUGUCCCCCUUUUAAAAUGUAAUAUAAAAAAAGAGAAACACUCGAGAAAAACGUUGAUAAAAAAGGAAUAAACAUGAAAAAAGGGGGAAAGAAAAGUGAAAAAGAGAUGGAGGUCUGGAUCUUGUUAGUGGAUACUUAAGCCAUUUUCAUUUUUUUUGGGUGGGGGUAAGGCGGGUUUGAACCUCAUCCCUCCACAUAAUUCACACCUGUGUCUCGUAACACAAAGGAUACCGAUUAAUCACUAAAUUAUGAAAUAAAAUGGUUCCGAGUCAGUCUACGAAGCAAAAUACGCAUGCAGCCAUGUGGCAACGAUGUCUUGAAAGGUCAUUAUUUUCAUUAAGCGAUUAAUCGUUAUAACCUCUGUGUUACGGGGGUACUGACGGUAUUCUCUGCCUUUUCUAAAGUAUUGGAGUUCUUGGAACAUGUCAUUUUAUAUUACAAAAAUGUAUAGACCUUAUAGGCAUUUGUUUGAAAAUAGGGUAUCAUGAAACAGUUCUUUCAACACAAAUGUCACGGAACUUACGAAUGUUAUUGCUGCCUCCCAUUUUUAAUGUCCUAUGUCAACAAUCGUUAUUUACAGUGGUACAUUAUUUUCACUUUUGAUCAGAUCUGUAUAGAUGAUUAUUACGUAUAAAGUCUGUGUACAUGAAACGGUGAUAUACAAAACGCAUAAGCUAUUUGGAAUGAUUUCCGUAGGCCUAUGUUCUACAUGUAUAUUUACAUCAUUGAAAUUUUCGGGGAAUCCCCAUAGACAAACGCGAUGCGAGCCGGGGUAUCCCCCCAAGAGCAUAUAAAAUUCUAAGUACCCACUGGUACUGUGAGACAAUUCCUUGAUAUUAUAAUAAAACUGGCCUUUGCUGUUUUUCUCCCGCCUCACCUUUACUUAAUCAUUUUCAAGUCAGGGGAAUACCAAAGGUCAUGUUAUAAACCCAAAACUCUAUGGUUCCUUUUCAGUUUCAGUUUAUUUCUUACAACAAUUCACUAAAAUGUUUUGAAACAUGUAUGUCCUCUCAUAAAAAAUACCCGAUCUUGCGAAAGACUAUCAAGGGUGUGUUCAGUGUCGGUUUCCAAAUUUAAACGGCAACAUGAAUCUUGAUUGAAAACGUGAUUACAAAAACGCGGAUAUAACGAGAAACAAUUAAAGGAUGUGUUUACUCUCCUCCAUUCCCGGUUGUAAAAGUAAACGUCUUUCAUCAAAACACGAUUUCGGAGAAAAUUCAAAAGUCGAAAAAGAACACCUCAGAUUUUAGGACCUUUAACAUCGCGAUUGUGACAUUGAACACGAUGUCAAUUUAAGUGAACUUAUAUGUACAAGGAUGUACAGAUGUCAUCGCGUUGCCAAUAGGAGGAGCUACUAUAGCAAGAGCGAUGUAAAUGCACAUCUAACUUUCUUAUAAUUUAUUCAAUGUUUAUUUGUUAUUAUUUGUUAUUUAUUUAUUGGUACAUAUGCACAUAAAAAUUGACCAGCAGCACAUGCUGAAAGGGUCAAUUUACAAAAAUUCAAUAACAAGUACAAUAACAAGGCAAAUGAACAAAAACGUAAUUACAGUAUUCUAUAUCAAAACUUUAUUAAACCUUCAUUGAUUUAUUUCUUUUGUUUUAAUUCAACCGAUUAAAGGGGUUUUAUUUUCCUUUAACCAAUUACUGAUAUUUUUCUCUAUCCAUCUUGGUGGUGGAAAUACACAUCACAUUUUUUUGAAGUAUGACAGGAGAAACAGGGUUUGGUUUUCUGGGGUUGGGGGUUGGAAUCAUAACACGUCAUGAUACUUGGAAACCUCUGCCCCCUUUAUUAUUCAGACGAUAUUUUCUUCUUGCCAUAUACCAGAAUCUGGCGCACACGUUGAUUUUUUUGGGGGAAAUAUCUAAAUCUCAUUUACGAUUCCAUGAUAUGUUUUGAAAAAAAAGAUAGGUACAAAAUUGUAUCUAUCCAAAGUAUAACCGUUUUCAUUUUUGUAUAUGUAGCAUCGUUUACCUUUGCAACUCAAAGGGAUAUUCAUACCUCAGUGCAUUUCUGUCGGACCUGUCUUCAUUGUUUCCCCCCCCUAAAUUUCGUAUUUAUUGGUUCACAGGAGCGCUGCCUGAGGGGCAAGACGACCUAUAAGGGCGACUUAUUUUCAUUUUUUUAAUUGAACUUUGACUGAGUUUAUAUUCAUGAAUCCAAGCCUGCAUUUACCAAGUUUACAAGACCUAGAUCCCUACUUAUGUACUCUCCUUUCUCCCGUCUACCCCUUUUCUUCCCUUUGUCCCCCCUUCCACUAUUUGAAGAACCAUGGGGGUGAUCACCCCUGUCCCUGUAGUGCCGCCCAUGUGUAUUCAUUUUAUAUUUGUGUUCAGUAGCAUUAUGACCAAUAUGUCCUAAAGAGCAUAAUGGCAAAACGACUUAAAGGUGUACGUCAUUUUUUUUCUUCAAUUCAAUAGUAUGGGCGCUAUCUCCAUAUUCUUUUUCACUACAUUAAAAUUUAUAGGAGCGGUCGCCCCCUCACUUAGGUUAACACCCAGACUCGCUUGCUAUUAAUAAAUGACACACAAUGAGUCAAGCUACACCUUUAGAUUGUCCUUCUUCCCAUUAUAAAAUCAUUGUAUAAAUUCCCAAAUUUCCGAUAUCGUAACAAUUCAAAUAUUAAACUGGGAGAAAAAUGUUUGUUUGAAGUAUGAUGAAAUGGCAUUCUUUUUUUAUUUUUAACCUUUACAUAAAUAUGCAUUUUUGGUAAUAUUGCAGCCAUAACAUAUUUCUUCAAGAUGACAUAGAUUACUGAAAUGGUUCAGAUGUACUCCUAUAGUAUUUAGGCCUAUAUAGAUUUUUUAAUGUCAUAUUUCAUAUAUUUUGAUGUAGAAAUAAAAUAGACCAACAAAAUUAA